AUGGCGGCCGCCACCAAUACCAAGCAGAAGCGGCAGCAUCCGGCACCGGUCGUGGACCCCAAGUUCGAAUGGGCGGACAAGGCCGGCACCUACGUGCUCCGCCUCAGCCUCGAGGGGUUCAAGAAGGGCGACUUCAGGGUGCAGGUGGACGGCGCCGGCAGGCUCACCGUGAGCGGGGCGAGGCCGGGGGCCACCCCGGGUUCCUUGCACAAGGUCUUCCAGCUCCCCUCCACCGCCAGCUUCGACGACAUCACCGGCCGCUUCGAGGCCGGCGUGCUCACGCUCACCGUGCCCAAGCGCCCCUACUCUGGUGUCCCGGCGCCGACUAGCGUCGUCGAGGAGAUUAAGAGGGAUAAACCUGGUGUGGUUAAGGAGGAUGGUGCCGCCGCCACCACAGUCAGGCCUCCGCCAACCAAAGACGUCGCCGGCAGCGAGAAGAAGGCGGCCAGCGGCGACGACAGCACCACCAAGCCUAAGGAAGAGAUCGCCAAGGAGGAGGAUGUGUCCAAGAAGGCCAUGGACGAGGCCACGAAGAAUGCUCAACAUCAGAAGCAACCGGAGGAGGCAAGCAACCACAAGCAAGAGCAGCAAAAGCUAGCACCAGAACCAGAGGCGAAGAAGGAGCGAGAAGUGAAGCCUGAGGCUCCCCAGGCGGCAGCUCCGCCGGCACCCGAGAAGCCGGCACCGGAGCCAGAGGUUACCAUCGGCGAGAAGAACAAAGCGGUGGUUGACCAGGAGAGCCUGGCGGCGGGCGUGAUACGGCGCAGCGAGGAAGAGAAAGCCAAGGCUGCGGCCGCUGCCAUGGAAGCCAAAGCGGUGCUGGAGAAGAAGGCCACGGCGUGCAGCGGCUGGAAGGAGCGCGUGGCAGGGGGGCUGGAGCAGCUGACGGACAUGAAGUGGGCGGAGAGCGUGGUGGAGAAGGCAAGGAACAACAAGGAGGUGGUCGCCAUCGCCGUCGCUGCUUUCUCGCUCGGCUUCUUCGUCUCUCAUAAGCUAUUCAGGAAGUGA
rnacentral:rRNA from 1 species